CCUCAGUUAUGUUUGGACCUUUUAUGCACGACUGCAUCACUUUCUGUUUUGAGUAAAUUAAAACUCAUCUUACCUGCACGUCGUCUGCUGGUUCCUGCAUCUUGGGGUCACCACAAUUGCAGCCAUUUUACUUCCCAGAUGUCAAACUCAAGGCCAAAACUUCUGGCUCACCACAUCACUUCAGCCUGCAAAACCAUGGAAAUGUAAAUUGCGAAGAAUGGAGCCAUGCCACAUGAAUCACCUUCCUAACUGUAUGCAGUUGCAUGUAAUACUGUGCAUGUCUUUUUUUUAUGUCAAAAUUUGAUGUACAAAUAGAUUUAGCAAGAAAAUAUGUACUUUAUUGACGGAAAUUAUUACUGUGCAUGUCUUUUUUUAUGUCAAAAUUUGAUGUACAAAUAGAUUUGGCAAGAAAAUAUGUACUUUAUUGACGGAAAUUAUUACUGUGCAUGUCUUUUUUUAUGUCAAAAUUUGAUGUACAAAUAGAUUUGGCAAGAAAAUAUGUACUUUAUUGACGGAAAUUAUUUCCAGGCUUUCGCUGGCCAAAUAAAACGACAUGGCAGGCCAGAUCUGGACCCCAGGCUUUGGGAGACACCUGUGUUUUAAAGUGUCAUAGCUGCAUGGAAUGCAAUCUUUCAAUGUAAAACAUGCCAUUUGUGUUACU